rnacentral:rRNA from 1 species
CCUACGGGUGGCAGCAGUGAGGAAUAUUGGUCAAUGGACGAGAGUCUGAACCAGCCAAGUAGCGUGAAGGAUGACUGCCCUAUGGGUUGUAAACUUCUUUUAUAUGGGAAUAAAAUGUUCCACGUGUGGGAUUUUGUAUGUACCAUAUGAAUAAGGAUCGGCUAACUCCGUGCCAGCAGCCGCGGUAAUACGGAGGAUCCGAGCGUUAUCCGGAUUUAUUGGGUUUAAAGGGAGCGUAGGUGGAUUGUUAAGUCAGUUGUGAAAGUUUGCGGCUCAACCGUAAAAUUGCAGUUGAAACUGGCAGUCUUGAGUACAGUAGAGGUGGGCGGAAUUCGUGGUGUAGCGGUGAAAUGCUUAGAGAUCACGAAGAACUCCGAUUGCGAAGGCAGUUCACUGGACUGCAACUGACACGGAGGCUCGAAAGUGUGGGUAUCAAACAGGAUUAGAUACCCGUGUAGUC